rnacentral:rRNA from 1 species
GAUGAACGCUGGCGGCGUGCCUAAUACAUGCAAGUCGAGCGAACGGACGAGAAUCUUGCUUCUCUGAUGUUAGCGGCGGACGGGUGAGUAACACGUGGAUAACCUACCUAUAAGACUGGGAUAACUUCGGGAAACCGUAGCUAAUACCGGAUAAUAUUUUGAACCGCAUGGUUCAAAAGUGAAAGACGGUCUUGCUUUCACUGAUAGAUGGAUCCGCGCUGCAUUAGCUAGUUGGUAAGGUAACGGCUUACCAAGGCAACGAUGCAUAGCCGACCUGAGAGGGUGAUCGGCCACACUGGAACUGAGACACGGUCCAGACUCCUACGGGAGGCAGCAGUAGGGAAUCUUCCGCAAUGGGCGAAAGCCUGACGGAGCAACGCCGCGUGAGUGAUGAAGGUCUUCGGAUCGUAAAACUCUGUUAUUAGGGAAGAACAUAUGUGUAAGUAACUGUGCACAUCUUGACGGUACCUAAUCAGAAAGCCACGGCUAACUACGUG